CGAAACCCUAAACCCUUUCAACUUUCCUAAUCACUUAUUUACGAUUCUAUUCAACAUUAUUCUUCGUGGCUGCAAACGUCGAAUGUGGGUGAAGUGUGUUUUCGUCUGUGUUUAUUUUAUGACUAUGGAAGUGUCAGUAUUCAAGCAAGUCCAGCCUGGCAGAGAAACAAUCACAUCGUUUUUCCGAACUCGCUAGAAGAGCAUGAAACUUUCAUUGCUCCAAAGUGUAGCGGUAACAAAACAUUUUGUGAGGACGUCGGACAUUACCC